CAGUCGCCGCGGGAAUACGGAGGAUCCAAGCGUUAUCCGGAAUCAUUGGGUUUAAAGGGUCCGUAGGCGGUCUUGUAAGUCAGUGGUGAAAGCCCAUCGCUCAACGGUGGAACGGCCAUUGAUACUGCAGGACUUGAAUUAUUGGGAAGUAACUAGAAUAUGUAGUGUAGCGGUGAAAUGCUUAGAGAUUACAUGGAAUACCAAUUGCGAAGGCAGGUUACUACCAAUUGAUUGACGCUGAUGGACGAAAGCGUGGGUAGCGAACAGGAUUAGAGACCCCUGUAGUCCCUGUCUCUUAUAC
rnacentral:rRNA from 1 species